AGGAUCGUCAGUGUAGCAAUACAUCGGCGGUUCGAGUGGCGCACGGGUGAGUAACACGUGGGUAACCCACCCUUGAGACCGGGAUACCCUCUCGAAAGGGAGGCUAAUACUGGAUACGUUCCCUGGGACGCAAGAUCUGGGGAGGAAAGGUGGCGAAAGCUGCCGCUCUUGGAGGGGCUCGCGGCCUAUCAGCUAGUUGGUGAGGUAACGGCUCACCAAGGCUAUGACGGGUAGCUGGUCUGAGAGGACGACCAGCCACACGGGAACUGAGACACGGUCCCGACUCCUACGGGAGGCAGCAGUGGGGAAUUUUCCGCAAUGGGCGAAAGCCUGACGGAGUGACGCCGCGUGGGGGACGAAGGCCUUCGGGUCGUAAACCCCUGUCAGAGGGAAAGAAGGGUGUCGGCGUGAAUAGCGCCGGCAUCUGACGGUACCUUCAGAGGAAGCCCCGGCCAACUCUGUGCCAGCAGCCGCGGUAAGACAGAGGGGGCAAGCGUUGCUCGGAAUCACUGGGCGUAAAGGGCGCGUAGGCGGGAUGGCAAGUCGGUCGUGAAAUCCUUCGGCUCAACCGAAGAACGUCGGCCGAUACUGCCGUUCUUGAGGGAUGCAGAGGAGAUUGGAAUUCCCGGUGUAGCGGUGAAAUGUGUAGAGAUCGGGAGGAACACCGGUGGCGAAGGCGGGUCUCUGGGCAUCUCCUGACGCUGAGGCGCGAAAGCGUGGGGAGCAAACGGGAUUAGAUACCCCGGUAGUCCACGCUGUAAACGGUGACGACUAGUG
rnacentral:rRNA from 1 species